rnacentral:rRNA from 1 species
GAUGAACGCUGGCGGCGUGCCUAAUACAUGCAAGUCGAGCGAACGGACGAGAAGCUUGCUUCUCUGAUGUUAGCGGCGGACGGGUGAGUAACACGUGGAUAACCUACCUAUAAGACUGGGAUAACUUCGGGAAACCGGAGCUAAUACCGGAUAAUAUUUUGAACCGCAUGGUUCAAAAGUGAAAGACGGUCUUGCUGUCACUUAUAGAUGGAUCCGCGCUGCAUUAGCUAGUUGGUAAGGUAACGGCUUACCAAGGCAACGAUGCAUAGCCGACCUGAGAGGGUGAUCGGCCACACGGGAACUGAGAGACGGUCCAGACUCCUACGGGAGGCAGCAGUAGGGAAUCUUACGCAAUGGGCGAAAGCCUGACGGAGCAACGCCGCGUGAGUGAUGAAGGUCUUCGGAUCGUAAAACUCUGUUAUUAGGGAAGAACAUAUGUGUAAGUAACUGUGCACAUCUUGACGGUACCUAAUCAGAAAGCCACGGCUAACUACGUG